rnacentral:rRNA from 1 species
AUUGAACGCUGGCGGCAGGCUUAACACAUGCAAGUCGAGCGGAGAGAGGUAGCUUGCUACCGAUCUUAGCGGCGGACGGGUGAGUAAUGCUUAGGAAUCUGCCUAUUAGUGGGGGACAACAUUUCGAAAGGAAUGCUAAUACCGCAUACGUCCUACGGGAGAAAGCAGGGGAUCUUCGGACCUUGCGCUAAUAGAUGAGCCUAAGUCGGAUUAGCUAGUUGGUGGGGUAAAGGCCUACCAAGGCGACGAUCUGUAGCGGGUCUGAGAGGAUGAUACGCCACACUGGGACUGAGACACGGCCCAGACUCAUACGGGAGGCAGCAGUGGGGAAUAUUGGACAAUGGGCGCAAGCCUGAUCCAGCCAUGCCGCGUGUGUGAAGAAGGCCUUAUGGUUGUAAAGCACUUUAAGCGAGGAGGAGGCUACUUUAGUUAAUACCUAGAGAUAGUGGACGUUACUCGCAGAAUAAGCACCGGCUAACUCUGUGCCAGCCGCCGCUGUAACAC